rnacentral:rRNA from 1 species
CAGUCGCCGCGGGAACACAGAGGGUGCGAGCGUUAAUCGGAUUUACUGGGCGUAAAGCGUGCGUAGGCGGCUAAUUGAGUCGGAUGUGAAAUCCCCGAGCUUAACUUGGGAAUUGCAUUCGAUACUGGUUAGCUAGAGUGUGGGAGAGGAUGGUAGAAUUCCAGGUGUAGCGGUGAAAUGCGUAGAGAUCUGGAGGAAUACCGAUGGCGAAGGCAGCCAUCUGGCCUAACACUGACGCUGAGGUACGAAAGCAUGGGGAGCAAACAGGAUUAGAUACCCCGGUAGUCCCUGUCUCUUAUAU